rnacentral:rRNA from 1 species
UACAGAGGUCUCAAGCGUUGUUCGGAUUCAUUGGGCGUAAAGGGUGCGUAGGCGGCGCGGUAAGUCGGGUGUGAAAUUUCGAGGCUUAACUUCGAAACUGCAUUCGAUACUGCCGUGCUUGAGGACUGGAGAGGAGACUGGAAUUUACGGUGUAGCGGUGAAAUGCGUAGAUAUCGUAAGGAAGACCAGUGGCGAAGGCGGGUCUCUGGACAGUUCCUGACGCUGAGGCACGAAAGCCAGGGGAGCAAACGGG